UCCGGUUGAUCCUGCCGGACCUGACUGCUAUCGGGAUAAGACUAAGCCAUGGAAGUCGACGCGCGCCCUUGCGCGCGUGGCGUACGGCUCAGUAACGCGUGGUUAACCUGCCCUCGCGAUGAGUAUAACCUCGGGAAACUGAGGAUAAUCCCCAAUAGGCGAUUGGAUCUGGAAGGACCUUUCGCCCAAAGGGACGGGGCAAAUGGGCCUCAUCCGCGCGAGGAUGGGACUGCGUCCCAUCAGGCAGUUGGUGGGGUAAUGGCCCACCAAACCUAUAACGGGUACGGGCCGUGAGAGCGGGAGCCCGGAGAUGGGCACUGAGACAAGGGCCCAGGCUCUACGGAGCGCACCAAGCGCGAAACCUUCGCAAUGCGCGAAAGCGUGACGGGGCUAUCCCGAGUGCUAGCCGCUGAGGCUAGCUUUUGCUCAGUGUAAGAAGCUGAGCGAAUAAGUGGGGGGCAAGACUGGUGUCAGCCGCCGCGGUAAUACCAGCUCCACGAGUGGUCAGGACGGUUAUUGGGCCUAAAGCGUCCGUAGCCGGCUCAGCAAGUUUAUGGUGAAAUCCGUCGUCUCAAGCGUCGGAGUGCUGUAAAUACUGCUGGGCUAGGGAGUGGGAGAGGCCGAGGGUACCUCCGGGGUAGGGGCGAAAUCCUAUAAUCCCGGAGUGACGACCAGUGGCGAAAGCGCUCGGCUAGAACACGUCCGACGGUGAGGGACGAAAGCUGGGGCAGCAAACCGGAUUAGAUACCCGGGUAGUCCCAGCCGUAAACCAUGCGGGCUAGUUGUCGGAGCGGCUUAGUGCCGCUCCGGUAACGCAGGGAAGCCAUUAAGCCCGCCGCCUGGGGAGUACGACCGCAAGGUUGAAACUUAAAGGAAUUGGCGGGGGAGCACCACAAGGGGUGAAGCUUGCGGCUCAAUUGGAGUCAACGCCGGA
rnacentral:rRNA from 1 species